AUCGAUUGAUAUAAUAAGACACUAUUAUAUACACACAUAUCAAUACAAACGAUAAAUACUACUACCAUGCACUAAAUACCGGAAAUAACUGAGUUAAUAGCUGCACCGAGUGUUUAAACUGAAGUCAUCGACGUAUGUGAUUCUUUUUUUCAAAUUGCGCCCCGUACAAAAACCGCGAGUCACUGUUGAACGAAAACCAUUCUGAUGUCAUAGUUUGUUACUCAUUUUCAAGUUUCAGCUUGAUCAGCUGACUGGAGUUGGACACGCUAGCACUGUGUGUGGCGAGGCUCCGUUUCCCUCCUCUUGUCGGUCAGAACAUUGGAGCGUUUCUUCAGAUAUAUCCGGAAUGUAGACUUACUAUAAGUAAGUGUGUACUCUUGCAGCGCCGCCUGUUGGAUUUCACCAGUCACAUUGCUGGACGAGAUCCGCUGGAUUUUAAAGGGCGUCAACUCUGACGUCACUUCUGGAUACCACAAUGGGGUCUAAAUAUGGACAAAACACUAUUUUGAUUGAACUUAAUCAAAUAAAAAGAUUAGUCCUUGCUUUUGUUAAUGAUACGGAUGUUUUAUAAAAUAUAAACAAAAUACCUUGAUAAUAAAACCCCAUCAUUUCUACAAUUAUAUUUAGGGAUUUUCAUAUAAACAUUUUAAGAUGGACUAUCAAAAAAUGCAAAAAUGAAA